CUAUUGCUCCGUGGAUACCAGGUGGCGCGGACUGCUCUGCUGUACCUUCUUCUGCUCUCUUGGUUUUCUUUCUUUACCUAGUAAUUGGCCUGAUUAUAUAUUUCGUGAGUGUUAAUGGCGUCCUUGUUUCUUUGAUGAGUUGAAAUUUUCCUGCUGUCAUUGCUGACAAUCAUGAUUUGAUGUAAAGAUUGAAUUGGACACCGAUCCUUUAUCACAAAACCAAUAAGUUAUUAUCACAACACCAAUCAGUGCAUGACGAGCUUUCUGCAAACAGAGUUGAUUUAAGAAUUAAUUUGUCAUUUUUUACAGUUAUCACUAAACAAAUCAUUAUCACAAAAUCAGCAAUCAUUGAGUGCACGAAAAGCUUGGUACAGAGUGGAUUACUGGAUUUUUAUUGUUUUACAAUUAUCACAAACCCAGCAAUCAUUGUCACAAAACCAAUCAUCAUCAAAAUUUUGGGGGUAAACCUUUGAUGCAUAUUGUGUGAUACCAUCCUUCACAACCCUUUGUGUCAUAUCCGAUGAGCUCCAACCCCUUUUUCUCCCAUCCGGUUUGGCGACAACAGCUCUUCUUCUUGUACAAUCUCCCUAGACCUCUUGGCUCGGAUUGGAUCCGACAGAAAUGGCGUUAAGGUUCCCGAAACCAAACAGUCCAUCAGGAGACUCGACAUGCAGCUCAGGAUGUGGUCGUUCUUCCAUGGCGUGCUGGGCAUACUGUCGUACACCAGAGCGUGGUUAGGUUGGAAAAACCUUUAGCGACACACACCCAAUGGUUUGACCCAUUCUGGAUUAUUUGGAACCAUUGAUCGCCCUGCGCGGGAGAGAAUUCAAGUGUCGCCCCCAUUGUGGAGCAAUACAACCCUCCGAUCGUUGGAUGAAGUCUUUUCAGGAUCACUUGGGCCAAGUUCAUGUCGCCCGUGUUUAGAUAAUUGUGGUUCGUUAUCAUUUGGGGCUUAUCCAAGAAGAGACAGGGCUCUCUGAUCCUGCUUCUAUGUGUUUUGGCUGUACGACAAGUUUUUAGAACCUAUCAAUAGACGGAUCAUCAAUCGUAGCAGCGUCCACUUUGCAUUUUCCGUCGGCAGACAAAUCGUAGGGUGAAACGGUGGAAGCUUCCACUUCGCAACUUUCGUCCACAAGAGGACUAUCAGCAAGUGAGGGAGUGAUGAGAUCAAUGUUAUUGCACGUUUCUUCCUCUCGUGCAAUGGCCUCGGCUUCCUCGUUCAGGAUUGCCACUUCUUCUUCCAAUCGAUUAUCGAAGUCGUUUCUUGCCAGUCUUUUCUUUUUUGCGUGCUUGUGGUAUGGGUUGAAGAAGCCUUUGUCUUCUUUUGGCCUGCCCCGUUUUCUUGUUGCAACCGUUAGAUGAAUGGCUGCCCAAGACGAGAUCUACAAGCAAAUCAGUACUUUCAUCAGUAGUAGAAGGUUCUUCAUUAACAUCAGCUCUACCUUCUUCCUUUUUAUCCUCUUGUCGACUUAAAAUAACCAACUGAAUUGGCUUAUCGGCCUUGAUCAGGGCAUGUAUGUCGUGAAACAGCCUCAUCUUCUCCUGGAAAUCUGGUAUGGUCCGGGAACUGAUUGAAAAAACAGAGCAAUGUAGACUUUUCCUUUCUUUUGUAUUGUGGUGUUUAAAAAAUCUGAAGCGUGGACUUUUUCUCUGUCUGUGAAAAAUCAUUAUUCCUUGUUUUGAUGCUCUGUUUGACAACAAUUAAUUUAUGAGUUAUUGUUCCUGAUGAACCAAAUAUAAAAUAGAUUUUU
rnacentral:lncRNA from 1 species